GCAGCGCAUCCCAGCCCGCGAGCGCCAUUUGCUCUUUUCCAUUUUCAAGUAGCACAUCCCAGCCCUCAAGAGCUUCUCCCAUUUUCAAGCAACAGCAUCCCAUCGCCAUCGAGCAGUGGCAUCUUCGAUCGCCAUCGAGCAGCGUCUUCAAAUAGAUUGAAAGUGUAUCUGGAACAUUGGUUAUGCGCUGGGUUAACUCACAGACAGGAAGAAUUUUAGGAUGGGUUGAAUAGGCCAUUCAACAGGAGCUGAAGCCAAAUAUGGAUAAAGAAAAGGAUCCAAUGGCUGGAAUUAUGGAUUUGAUGAAGGUGAGUCCUGUAUCCAUUCUUUUCUUGGGAAAUGUCCAAUGCAUCGGAAAUAAAUGUCCACCCAUCCAAUAGAUAAAUAAUUAAAUAAGUUAA